GGCUCGGCCUCCUGGGCACUGGCAGUGCUGUGAGUGCUGUCAAAGGAGCUGGCCCAGCCCCUUCCUUCGCCAACGCUCGGGUGAGCUUCUGACGGGAUUUACCGCGGCUACAGCACAGCAAGUUGCGGAUGCUGAGCCUACAGUCCUGGCAGGUGGAACAGCUGCCUGAAGGACCUUGAGAAUUCAGCAAGGCUCGUGUGUCUCCAGAAACUGAAAUAAUACAAUCAAACUGGAAUCCAAUCUGGGGUGUGCUCGUAGGAGGAAAUAAGACUCAAAUUUGUUAUUGCCAAUGUUCACCAAGACUGCUGAGAAGGAAAAGUACUGUUUUACAGGUUUAAAGGUAGCUUCUUACAGAAGCAUAUUAAUUUGUUUUCCUUUCUUAGUUUUCACAGGAUAAAAAGGAUGACUCAUUUGGGACAGUAACUGCAGUAGCACUCUCCCUUCAGGACGAAGAGAGGCAGCCA